AAUAGAUACCCGGGUAGUCCACGCCGUAAACGAUGUCGACUUGGAGGUUGUGCCCUUGAGGCGUGGCUUCCGGAGCUAACGCGUUAAGUCGACCGCCUGGGGAGUACGGCCGCAAGGUUAAAACUCAAAUGAAUUGACGGGGGCCCGCACAAGCGGUGGAGCAUGUGGUUUAAUUCGAUGCAACGCGAAGAACCUUACCUACUCUUGACAUCCAGAGAACUUAGCAGAGAUGCUUUGGUGCCUUCGGGAACUCUGAGACAGGUGCUGCAUGGCUGUCGUCAGCUCGUGUUGUGAAAUGUUGGGUUAAGUCCCGCAACGAGCGCAACCCUUAUCCUUUGUUGCCAGCGAUUCGGUCGGGGACUCAAAGGAGACUGCCAGUGAUAAACUGGAGGAAGGUGGGGAUGACGUCAAGUCAUCAUGGCCCUUACGAGUAGGGCUACACACGUGCUACAAUGGCAUAUACAAAGAGAAGCGACCUCGCGAGAGCAAGCGGACCUCAUAAAGUAUGUCGUAGUCCGGA
rnacentral:rRNA from 1 species